rnacentral:rRNA from 1 species
UUAGUGGCGGACGGGUGAGUAACACGUGGGAACGUGCCCUUUGGUACGGAAUAACUCAGGGAAACUUGAGCUAAUACCGUAUGUGCCCUUCGGGGGAAAGAUUUAUCGCCAUUGGAGCGGCCCGCGUCUGAUUAGCUAGUUGGUGAGGUAAAGGCUCACCAAGGCGACGAUCAGUAGCUGGUCUGAGAGGAUGAUCAGCCACAUUGGGACUGAGACACGGCCCAAACUCCUACGGGAGGCAGCAGUGGGGAAUCUUGCGCAAUGGGCGAAAGCCUGACGCAGCCAUGCCGCGUGAAUGAUGAAGGUCUUAGGAUUGUAAAAUUCUUUCACCGGGGACGAUAAUGACGGUACCCGGAGAAGAAGCCCCGGCUAACUUCGUGCCAGCAGCCGCGGUAAUACGAAGGGGGCUAGCGUUGCUCGGAAUUACUGGGCGUAAAGGGAGCGUAGGCGGACAUUUAAGUCAGGGGUGAAAUCCCGGGGCUCAACCUCGGAAUUGCCUUUGAUACUGGGUGUCUUGAGUAUGAGAGAGGUGUGUGGAACUCCGAGUGUAGAGGUGAAAUUCGUAGAUAUUCGGAAGAACACCAGUGGCGAAGGCGACACACUGGCUCAUUACUGACGCUGAGGCUCGAAAGCGUGGGGAGCAAACAGGAUUAGAUACCCUGGUAGUCCACGCCGUAAACGAUGAUUGCUAGUUGUCGGGAUGCAUGCAUUUCGGUGACGCAGCUAACGCAUUAAGCAAUCCGCCUGGGGAGUACGGUCGCAAGAUUAAAACUCAAAGGAAUUUGACGGGGGCCCGCACAAGCGGUGGAGCAUGUGGUUUAAUUCGAAGCAACGCGCAGAAACCUUACCACCC